AUGGGCGGAAUCUACAGUUAUUUCUACCCAGAGUCUUCAGGGGAAAUCACAGUUGUCGCUCAGACAGAGACCUAUCAGGACACAGACAGGUCACGAGAGCAACAAGGUGAUAAGAAUAACACCGGGAAUUUCCUGGGGGAAUCACCAAGUGCCUUAGGUGCCAAUGACAACAUUGAGGAUGUGGACAAGUUCAAUGUCCUUGUGAGGUGUGCGGGAAAGACCUUGGACAUAGACGUGUUCCCUCUGGAGAGAAUAGCAGUUCUGUUGGAAAAUGUAUGUCAACAGGCAGGAAAGAAACGCAGCACAAUGAAGCUUGUUUACAACGGGGAAAUGCUGGACGAGAGCAAAACAGUGAAACACUAUAAACUACGAAGAGGAAACUCAGUCAACCUCAUUCAUGCCUAAGUCAAUGUGUUACUUAUUCUUACUGUAUGUGUCAUCAUAGCUGCAUAAAGCAGAAUAUAAUAUCAAUUGGUAUCUGUGUCUCAAAACUGAGUAAGGCUAUGAGAUGCACUACACAUAAAUUGUAUUACAUAGUAUCAUCACCUACGAUUUUAUAAGCUAAUCUUUGAGUGCUGGUGCCCUUGCAUUACAUUGUAAAAACCUAUUGAGGCCCUAGCAUUACAUUGUAAAAACCCAUUGAGGCCCUAGCAUUACAUUUUACCAUUAGACCUACCUGCAAUUUUGUCCUGUCUAUUUGCUUUUAACAAUAAAACUGAUAUUUAUCCAGACUUGUGAUAAUUGUAGGCUACUUAUUCUACAAGAUCACAAUGAAUAUUCAAUUCGUAUAAUGUUAAGAAGCUAAAACUAAUGCAAGAAAUCAUCAGGAUACAACAGCAAACUAGAUUAUAAUAAAAUAUUGAGCUAACGUUAAUAUGCCUACAUGGUUCCCUGACAAAAAGGUGUAGUCCUAGACCAGGCUUCAAAUGACCGCCAACACAUGUGCAGCGAAACGGUGAAAUUUAGCCUACUUCAUAAUAAGCCAAUUUACAUCCAAGACCUAGAAGGCCAAAUUAUAUUAUUUCUUACUUCAAAUAACUUACAAGUUGCGUGAACAUCAUCGUGGUUCAUGAACUCACGUGUUUACUGAGACAUAAAAUGGCAAGCGAAAAAAAAUGUGGGUCCUAUAGGUCAUUUAUAGUGCGUCAUAAACUUAAUUUUAUUUUACCAAAAUACAUUACACACUAAUGCAAUUGUGCUAUAGAAUUGUUUGUUUCUAGUUCAAAAUGAGUCUAUAUUGACUUAUUUUCUAACUGCUUACAAGCUUACCUCACCUGGCAGUUUAGGCUACCACUUGAACUAGCCUGUAGGCCCUAGGCCUAGCUCAUACAUUGUUUGUGCAUCAAUAACUACAACGUUUUAUUUGACCAAAACACGUUAAAACCCGAAUGGAAUUAUGUUAAUUGUUCAAAAUGUGUGGAAUAUUUUUCACUUUUGUUAUAUUUGUCAACUUUCUUUACCUGGUUGGCUACGUGGAUCUACUCCAGAAUGGCGCUCUUCUCCCAAUGCGCAUUGUGGUGGGUUUAAUCCAAAAACCGAAAAAGUUGUUUUUCAUAAGUAGCCUAAUUACUAUGCACAAAUAAAGGCAAAUUAAGCUUUCAUUAAUUAACGCAACGGUGACUUAAUUUUACCAAGUUAAUCACAGAAAUUCUGAUUCGUGGUGGACGCAUCACCGUUUACACACAUACUCCUGCCGUUACUGUACCACGAGUGAUCAAUUAUCGCUACCUCCAUACUCAAUAAAGAUUCUUGC
rnacentral:lncRNA from 8 species